rnacentral:lncRNA from 1 species
CUAGUUUGGUGUUGGGCGCACCUGUGAGUGUUAAUCGAAUCAUGUUUACCAAUUAUCUUUAAGAAUUUAAAGGUCCCAUUAUCCAGGAGGGUCUUAACAAUUUCAGAUCUAAAUUGUAUCCUCUAAAGGUAUUACUUGCACUAAAUCUCGUCAUCUAAGAGGGUCUUGAAACUACAUUCCAUUAUCUAGGAGGGUCCUGAAAACUCCUAGUUAAAUGAUAAUUUUAAAACUAAGCUAUAUCUUCUAAAUGUAUUACUUCCGCUAUAUUUUGUUAUCUAAGAAAGUAUAGAAAUUGCUUCGCAUUAUCUAGGAAGGUCCUGAAAAUCCAAAGUCAAUUUUCAUCUUAAGAGAGACAAGUCUUUAUGGAAGAAUUAUACUAUCCUACAGCAGAACUUAUGCUAAAUAUUGU